rnacentral:rRNA from 1 species
GAGUUUGAUCCUGGCUCAGGAUGAACGCUGGCGGCGUGCCUAACACAUGCAAGUCGAGCGAAGCGCUAUACUUGAAUUCUUCGGAAGGAAAGUAUUGUGACUGAGCGGCGGACGGGUGAGCAACGCGUGGGUAACCUGCCUCAUACAGGGGGAUAACAGUUAGAAAUGACUGCUAAUACCGCAUAAGACCACAGCACCGCAUGGUGCGGGGGUAAAAACUCCGGUGGUAUGAGAUGGACCCGCGUCUGAUUAGCUAGUUGGUAAGGUAAGGGCUUACCAAGGCGACGAUCAGUAGCCGACCUGAGAGGGUGACCGGCCACAUUGGGACUGAGACACGGCCCAAACUCCUACGGGAGGCAGCAGUGGGGAAUAUUGCACAAUGGGGGAAACCCUGAUGCAGCGACGCCGCGUGAGUGAUGAAGUAUUUCGGUAUGUAAAGCUCUAUCAGCAGGGAAGAAAAUGACGGUACCUGACUAAGAAGC